rnacentral:rRNA from 1 species
GAGUUUGAUCAUGGCUCAGGACGAACGCNGGCGGCGUGUUUAACCUAUGCAAGUCGAACGGAGUUGACUUGUUUGAACCCUUCGGGGUGAUGACAGAUUAACUUAGUGGCGAACGGGUGAGUAACGCGUGAGUAACCAACCUUGUACAGGGGGACAACAUCUGGAAACGGAUGCUAAUACCGCAUGAGACCACAGUGCCGCAUGGCAUAGGGGUCAAAGAUUUAUCGGUACAAGACGGACACGCGUUCUAUUAGGUAGUUGGUAAGGUAACGGCUUACCAAGCCUACGAUAGAUAGCCGAGCUGAGAGGCUGAUCGGCCACACUGGGACUGAGAUACGGCCCAGACUCCUACGGGAGGCAGCAGGGAAGAAUAUUGGGCAAUGGGGGAAACCCUGACCCAGCAACGCCGCGUGAAGGAAGAAGGCCCUCGGGUUGUAAACUUCUGUGACAGAGGACGAAGAAAGUGACGGUACUCUGAGAGGAAGCUCCGGCAAACUACGUGCCAGCAGCCGCGGUAAUACGUAGGGAGCGAGCGUUGUCCGGAAUUACUGGGCGUAAAGGGUGCGUAGGCGGCAAUGUAAGUCAUUUGUGAAAUCCCCGGGCUUAACCCGGGAGGUGCAGGUGAAACUAUAUAGCUUGAGUAUGGUAGAGGAGAAUGGAAUUCCUAGUGUAGCGGUAAAAUGCGUAGAUAUUAGGAGGAACACCGGUGGCGAAGGCGGUUCUCUGGGCCAAAACUGACGCUGAGGCACGAAAGCGUGGGGAGCAAACAGGAUUAGAUACCCUGGUAGUCCACGCCGUAAACGAUGAUUACUAGGUGUAGGGGGUAUCGACCCCCUCUGUGCCGCAGCUAACGCAAUAAGUAAUCCGCCUGGGGAGUACGACCGCAAGGUUGAAACUCAAAUGAAUUGACGG